GGAGCCAUUGUUUCUCUAGGUGUGCCCCACGCAUUUAUCUUGGCCAUCCCCAUCCUCUUGGAGGAAAUGAAAACCCUUGUCACACUAAGAAGGGGGCUUUGUAUGAUUAUGGGCGUUGAUUGGUAGUGGUCACUGGUUGGACGUUAUUUGCUGGUGUGUAUAUUGUGAUUGAGAUUGCUCGGGGUAAUAGGUUAUGUGAUUAGAAGAAGGAUUAUAAGGAGUGGGAAGAAGAAAGAGAGGAAGUACAGUUUGAUCAAACCUUUUUGGGUAGAGGUGGUGAUGGAGGCUGAGAUUUGAGCCUAGCCACACCCCCACGGGAGACAGCAGUGAUAAACCUUUAGCAAUAAACGAAAGUUUAACUAAGCCAUACUAACCCCAGGGUUGGUCAAUUUCGUGCCAGCCACCGCGGUCACACGAUUAACCCAAGUCAAUAGAAACCGGCGUAAAGAGUGUUUUAGAUCAAUCCCCCAAUAAAGCUAAAAUUCAUCUGAGUUGUAAAAAACUCCAGCUGAUAUAAAAUAAACUACGAAAGUGGCUGUAAUAUAUCUGAACACACAAUAGCUAGGACCCAAACUGGGAUUAGAUACCCCACUAUGCCUAGCCCUAAACUUCAACAGUUAAAUUAACAAAACUGCUCGCCAGAACACUACGAGCCACAGCGGAAGUGGAAUCAUAUGGCUAAGCCUGAGGUUAUUAGGAGGGCUGAGAGGGCCCCUGUUAGGGGUCAUGGGCUGGGUUUUACUAUAUGAUAGGCAUGUGAUUGGUGGAUCAUUAUGUGUUCUCGUGCAGGUAGAGGCUCACUAAAAGCGUGAAAACGUAGGCUUGGAUGAGGGCGACAGCGAUUUCUAGGAUAGUUAAUAAAAUUAGGACUGUAAUCUCAUCAUCGGAAAUCAUGCUCAUUUUUCUGGAAGACAAAUGUUUCCACAAUGUAGAAUAAACAUUGUACAGGAUUUGGUGGUGGGAAACUGAAAGCUUG
rnacentral:lncRNA from 1 species